rnacentral:rRNA from 1 species
AAAAAUAUUAUAAAUUAAGUAGUAAAGAAAUUUCCGAAACUUAAAGAAUUUGGCGGUGUUUUAAAUAAUUGGAGGAACCUGUUAUUUAAUUGAAAAUCCACAACACAUCUAACCUUAUUUUUGUUUGUAUAUCGUCAUUCAUAGAUUAUAUUUAAAAACCUAUAAUCAAACUCAAUAAAAUUAUAGACAUUAGAUCAAGGUGCAGCACAAUAAGGGUAUAAUGGGUUACAAUAUUUUAAAAAUAUACGAAUAAGCAAAAGAAAUAAUAAAUUGAAGGAGGAUUCAAAAGUAAUAUGGAAAUAAAGAAUCCUUUUGAAUUAAAACUUAAAACAUGC